rnacentral:lncRNA from 1 species
AAAGUUUAUUUGCUAUAGGCACUGGUGGGAAUCUUGGGGGGGGGGACAAAAAACAACAAAAACAAAACUCUCUACACCCACUAUAAAUGUUCUUCUGUUUGCAUUUCUGGUAACUAUGAUGAACCAGACAAAUAACUCUCAAAACGAAAUUGGAUAGCUUUAUUUUACAAACGUGCAAAGUUUAUGAAGCAGGGUCUGCAUCUAAUUAUUACCAGUGGCAUUUGCACUAAAUGUGGUGAUAAUCUUUUACAAUUUAUUCUGUAAAUAAAAUGUUACACUAAAAAUACUUGUAGUAAAAAGAUAAGCAAUGAUCAUUUUAGUAAUGAUCUUCAGUAAAAGACUGGUACUUUAUUGGAGAUAACCCUGCCCAGUCAGAUUUAGAAUUGAGUUCAGAAAUACUGAAAGUAUUCAAACAGUCAAAGUUAGGAGGAGCACUGGCGACGUUAUAAUAUUCAGACCGUCAAGAAUUACUUUCAUUUGGCUAAUCCCUACAUAGUGAAUAUUUAUUGUUUCUUCAUAACCUGGGUAUCUAUCUUAGCCUAAGCCCCCAUCCCACACACCCCCAAAACAAGCCCCUUUACUCAAUUCUGCUGGAUUAUUCUGUGAUGUUAGACACCUGAAAAAUACUGGUGAUGUGGGGAUUUGUCCCUGCGUGUGAGUGAGCAUAAGGAGGGAGCAGAGUGCUCCUCCUGGGGUUGAGGACUCCAUAUUGGAGGUAGAGAAACUUGACUUGGUGUUGCUACAGGAGGAGCGAGGGAGGAACCUGACUAAGAGAGAUGUGUGGAGGCCAAGUGAGGUACAGGAGGCAUGGCUCUCAACUGUCCGUUUCCAUGACUACCUAUACACCUAUCCAAUAUCAGUGUCAGUCGCUACAGAAUUUUAACUGGGCUGAGCUGGCUCUCUUGUGAAAUUGUGCCGGUUAUCUUCAGACGUCUCAGUUGUUUGUCCGAUCAGACGCGUGACCAGUAUGUGGUCCAGGCUGUACAGGUGAUGUAUUUGGAUUGUCGUCGUUGUUCAUCUACAGACUCAAAACAUAAUCAUUUUAAAGUACCUUGGGAGUGUGUAGAGUGUAACUAUAAUAGCUUUAUGAUUCUGAUGAUGUUUUUUUAAAAAUAUAAAAGAUGGAUCUUCCAUGUUACAAUCACAAAAUUAAAACCAGUAUUUAAAAGUGGAGAAGUAUUAAAAUAUUACAAAUAU